rnacentral:rRNA from 1 species
GACCUGGCCGGGUGGUCUUGCCGAAAGGUAAGCACUGCUUUUGGUCGGGUCUUUCCUUCUGGGGAACCAGCGUGCGCUUGAUUGAGUGCGUUGGGGAUCCAGGACUUUUACUUUGAAAAAAUCAGAGUGUUCAAAGCAGGCAUAUUUGCUCGAAUACAUUAGCAUGGAAUAAUAGAAUAG